rnacentral:rRNA from 1 species
CGACCGCUGGCGGCGUGCUUAACACAUGCACGUCGAACGGAAAGGCCCCUUUGGGGGUACUCGAGUGGCGAACGGGUGAGUAACACGUGAGUAACCUGCCCUUGACUUCGGGAUAACUUCAGGAAACUGGGGCUAAUACCGGAUAGGAAUCCUUGCUGCAUGGUGGGGGUUGGAAAGCUUCGGCGGUUUUGGAUGGACUCGCGGCUUAUCAGCUUGUUGGUGGGGUAGUGGCUUACCAAGGCUUUGACGGGUAGCCGGCCUGAGAGGGCGACCGGCCACAUUGGGACUGAGAUACGGCCCAGACUCCUACGGGAGGCAGCAGUGGGGAAUAUUGCACAAUGGGCGGAAGCCUGAUGCAGCAACGCCGCGGGCGGGAUGACGGCCUUCGGGUUGUAAACCGCUUUCAGCAGGGGCGAAGCUUGUGGUGACGGUACCUGCAGAAGAAGCACCGGCUAACUACGUG